AAGUCAUUUCAAAGAAAACUUGUUAGGCUAUGAAACCAAGAGCUUUAACGUUGUAACCGAAGAUUAACAUUCUCCCGAGGAUGGCGUAGUCACUCAAUAGUGCUGUUUUUCUGAUGAGACGUCAAA
rnacentral:snoRNA from 1 species